AACCAUAGAAACCUGCGGAGUACCUGCGGAAGGAUCAUUACAAGUGACCCCGGUCUAACCACCGGGAUGUUCAUAACCCUUUGUUGUCCGACUCUGUUGCCUCCGGGGCGACCCUGCCUUCGGGCGGGGGCUCCGGGUGGACACUUCAAACUCUUGCGUAACUUUGCAGUCUGAGUAAACUUAAUUAAUAAAUUAAAACUUUCAGCAAUGGAUCU
rnacentral:misc_RNA from 1 species